AUCUCUGCACGCACUUGUAAAUUUUAUCAGCAACUGCUUAUAUAAUUAGCAAUGAACCUCGUUAAUUACUGCACUGUCAUAUACAAUAAAAUUUAUGCUGAUGGUGUGAUUAGGUAAUGAUGAGAAAAUUAAAGCAGACAUGGGAUUUGGUUUCAACGUGUAAAGAGGAAAGAAGAAAGUGAGGAGGCUAAAUACUGUAUGUAAGUGUGUUUGUAUCUUGCAUGGAACUGAAGGAAGAGAGAGAUGAAAGUGAUAUGGUAAUUGAAAGAGGGAGAGAAAAAUAAGGGGGGUGAAUUGAAUGUCAUUUUUUAUGGAACCCAAGGACCAGAUGUAGGGUCAGGGGGGUCUGCUACUUUUAUUGCUUUGUUUGUCUUUUUCACUCUUUAUCUCUCCUCCUCCUAGCCUUUUUAUCUCUUUGUUUUGCUUGCUCUUUUCUCAUUCAUUUGUCUCUCCCUCUCUUCCAAAAUCAAAAUCGGUUUUGGUUUUUAAGUUCUUCUGUCAAUUGGGUUCUGAAGAAGCUGUAUAUCUUUUGAGGGGAAUGUUGUCUGGCUCGAGGCCACUAACUAGAUCUACAAGUUUAUCUCAAUUGAUUUUCUUUUUCAAAUUGUUGAGGUAUCACUGAUGAUCAUGUGUUAGUGACGUCGGACCAGGCUUCAUUCCCCCCAAUUGUUGCUUUCUUCCUUUCAAACUGUUCAUCUUUACAACCUUGAAGGUUCUUGAUCUUAAAAAGAAGAAGAAGAAGAAGAAGAAGAAGAAGAAGAAGAAGAAGAUAUUAGCAUAUACACAAUAAUUUUUUUUUCUUACAGUUUUGUUUUAUGAACUGUUUCCUGCUCAGCAGUUGUUUUUCGUAAAUAGUAGUCCUGCAAGAACAGGCAUAAAAAACUUUGAAGUAGGGGAGUAAAGAACGAGUGAAUUGUGAAUAAUUUUUCUAAAUUAAUUAAUUUGGAGUCAGUGAUCAUCGGGCUCCAGCCAAGGCCCAUCUCUUCAAAAUAUUGGACCACUCACACAACAAAGGCCCACCUCAAGGCUGUAUAUGUAUAAGGUUGCGGCUGUAUUUGGAAUUUUUUGGGCUUGAUUUGUGUGCUGUCUUUUGUGUCUUCAAAGCCCAUUAACGUAAAUAAUCUGUUUCUAUUUGUUUCUAA